UGACGGUACCCCCAGAAGAAGCCCCGGCUAACUCCGUGCCAGCAGCCGCGGUAAUACGGAGGGUGCAAGCGUUGUUCGGAAUCACUGGGCGUAAAGGGCGCGUAGGCGGCUUUGUAAGUCAGGGGUGAAAUCCCGGGGCUCAACCCCGGACCUGCUUUUGAUACUGCAAGUCUUGAGUACGGGAGAGGAAAGUGGAAUUCCUAGUGUAGCGGUGAAAUGCGUAGAUAUUAGGAAGAACACCAGUGGCGAAGGCG
rnacentral:rRNA from 1 species